rnacentral:tRNA from 1 species
GGGGAUAUAGUUCAGUAGGAAGAACGUGUGAUUUGCAUUCACUUGGUCAUUGGUUCGAAACCAAUUAUCUCCA